UGGAUCACCUCCUAACAGGGAGACAACAAAAUGUUAAAUAUUAAUUUUGUCACCUUAGGUCGAUCGGUAUCUCACAUCCUUAAAUUUAUUAAGGACUUUAUUUCCUAAGUUUUUUCUAGGUCACACCCAUUACUUUUCCUGGGCCAUUAGCUCAGGUGGUUAGAGCGCACCCCUGAUAAGGGUGAGGUCCCUGGUUCAAGUCCAGGAUGGCCCAUAUCUCUAUGUUGGGGGUAUAGCUCAGUUGGUAGAGCGCCUGCUUUGCAAGCAGGAUGUCAGCGGUUCGAGUCCGCUUACCUCCACUGAUCACCACCUCUUCCAUAAUUUAUAGAAGGGAAAUGUUUUGAGUUGUGAUCAAAUUCUGAACGAAUCUAGCUUCCUAAUCAAAUUUAUUAAGAUGCUGGACUCAUUGAAUUAAUUUCAUUGUUUUCAGAGAACCUUGACAACUGCAUAGAUUAUUUUUAAAGACAAUAAGCAUCUUUAAUGAUGCAGAUUUAUUAUUUGUGCGAAUGCAUUAAUAACAAUUCUAUUAAGCUGAUGCUUCAAUUAUUGAAGUUAUUGGUCAAGCUACAAAGGGCUCACGGAGGAUACCUAGGCACACAGAGGCGAUGAAGG
rnacentral:tRNA from 1 species